CCUUUAAAACCUCACUGCCAGAGGGAUAUUGUGAAUGCAUGUGCCCGCUGGGCACAGUUUACCUGAUGCCACCGGGGUGGCGAUGGCACUGGUGGCUUGAGCCCGCCAUCGCUGCUUGCAGCUAUAUUUAGGGCUCAAGCCUGGAGGGCGAGAGCCCUAUUGUUUUCCUUAGGAUUAUUUGUUAUUAGGGCUCAAGCCCAAAGGGCGAGAGGCCUAUUGUUUUCCUUAGGAUUAUUUUUUAUUAUUAUUAUUAUUAUUAUUAUUAUUAUUAUUAUUAUUUUUUUCCAACGUUUCGGGGGCUUUUGGGGCCCUUAACAUGCUUAAAAAGUCUUGAAAAUUGGCACACACAUUGGAACCUGCGGCCAUUAGGGCCGGGCAGAGACUGAUACACGGGCGUGGCACAGGGGCUCUACAGCGCCCCCUGGAAUACUGAGGGCCAUAUAUCAUACAUACUUGCACGUAGACACACGAAACUCGGUACACAUGUAGAUCUCAUCAAACCAAACAACUUUUGUACUGCAUGUCAUAGGCUCCGCCCAACAGGAAGUUGGAUAUUUAGGGUUUAGUAUUCAUAUUUUUCGUCAAAGUUGUGGGGGCUUUUGGGGUCCUUAACAUACUCAAAAACUCUUGAAAAUUUGCGCACACUUUGGAAUCUGUGGCCUUUAGGAGCCUGCAGAGGCUGGGACCCAGGCGUGGCACAGGGGCUCUAUGGCGCCCCCUGGAACACAGUCAUAAAUGUUGAUGUAUAGCUCACACAUACUUGCUCGUAUUAAUAUGAAACUCAGUACACAUAUAGAUCUCAUCGUGCUGAACAACUUUCGUACUGCAUGUCAUUCGGCUCCGCCCAACAGGAAGUCAGCUAUUUAGAGUUAUGUAAAAAGCGCAUGCUCUGGAAUUUGAAAUACUUGUCAUAGGUUUUUUUGCCGAUUGCCACCAAAUUCGGUCAACAUGAUCUCAAGACACUGGGGAUGAAAAAUUGCCAGGGGAUUUUUGAUAUCUCGAACGGUUUGCUCGUGGCGAGGCGUUGAAAUUAUGGCGAGAAAUUAGAAACAGGAAGUGUCUAAUACCAUCCACAUACAUUUCCUGAUUUUAAUCAAACUUCAUCAGAUUAUUCGUUGUAUGAUGUCGAUCGCAUAUAUGUGACUAUUAGGAGUCAAAGUUAUAGCGCCACCAACUGGCAGCAGGAAGUGUGUCAUUUUCAAAAUGAUUUGAAUUCAGCAUCUUAUUUUUACUCGAUUUGCUUCAAACUUCAUCAGAAUAAUGUUAAAACACAGCCGAUAUAAAUCUGCUGGGGGGAUAUUGAUAUCUAAAAAUAUUGUUGCCGUGGCAACAUGUUAAACUGGAAUACUUCUCAGGUGAUUUUGAGGCAUAUAACAUGCUUAGAAUUUCAUCAAACUCAGAACACAUAUCAGUAUUUGUGAUAACUAGACACUGGCAAAAGUUCAUAAGAGGGCGUGGAAGAGGCACUCUAUAGCGCCACCUUUUGUCAAAAGUGGCGGGGUUAGUUUUAGCUACAGACACCAAACUCGGUACAAAAAUUUUUCUUAUCAAGACGGACAACUUUCUAAUUCACAGUCAUCAGCUACGAUCAACAGGAAGUCAGCUAUUUUGAUUUGAAUGUGGAUUUUUUUUUACAUUUAGCUGUGAAUUAAUGCAUACUGCUCAGAGGAGAGUAACACUAUACACACCAAACUUUGUCUACAUGAUGCCAAAACAUUUUAAACAACUUAAAUUGCCAAUGGAUUUUGGAUAGCUUAAACGGUUUUGUCGUGGUGAUUUUUUUAAAUGACAGUAAAAAUGGAAUUAUUAAUUUUCCUGCAUUUUUAAAUUCCAAACACUUCAAAACCUUUUUUCGUACAGAAAAAAAGUCAUUCUGAGUAAAUAUGGAUAGUUUCACGACUUUACAACACUGUAUAGAUAACAGAAAAUUAAAAAACUGUCAGACAUCUCAUCUCACUCUGUCCCUCUGUUUGAGUGUAUGUGCUUAGACUUCCAUUGUCUGAGAGAAAUAGCGCCCCUACAGGUUCAAUUACCGGACUUUUACUUUCACUUUUAAAUCGGUUAAAAAUACAAAUAAAUACUUAGAUUUAAUUCACACUGACAAGCUAAACCAACAUAUCUGAUUAUUACCGGUUCAGGGCUCAUGGAUAAAUUAUUUCUGGCCAGAGAUACGUGAGAAAUAGGAGAGAUGAAUCACCGCUGUGAUCACGAGCGUCUGGAGUAAAGAGCUCAGAAAAAACGAAUUUAUUCCUGUUUUAAAGCUUUUAAAAAUAAAUUAUUACAGCGAUAUCACACAAUCAACCAAUUAGAACACACCAAGAGCUAAAUUCAGAUGUUUUUGAACUGUUUGUGUGAAAAUGAAUUAUUUGCGGCUGCCUAUCUGAAACCACCGCCUCCGAUCAGCGCGUACAGUGUCGAGCUCAAAACAAACGAAUUUAUUCUUGUUUAAGAGCUUUUUUAAAUAAAAUAUUACCACAAAUGCACACAAUAAACCCAUUGUAACACUACAAGAGCUAAAUGCAGGUGUUUGUGACCCGUUUAAGUGUGCAAGACUAUUUGAAAGCGCGACUGGCAGAAUAACAUAUAUCUCUCGAGCUGCAGGAUUCUGCCUUUCGUCGUACGAACGAACACAUCACGGACAAGAUUAUUUCAAAAUACAUAAUAGCUUGGCGACUAUAAACGAAAACAGCCACGUGAACAUAAACUGUUGAGAAAUAAAUCUGAAAUGGAUCUACUGGAUUAUAAUAUUAAGUGACCGCAUAUACCAGCUGCUUCUGUCUUCAAUUUUGAUCCAUAUAAAAAAUGAAACUCAUUCAUCUUGGCUGCUUUUUUUAAUGUGUGUACGUAUUUAUUUAUUUAUUUAUUUAUUUAUUUAUUUAUUUAUUUAUUUAUUAUUUUGCUCUAACAAGAAUUAAUCUAUAUUUAAUUAAAUCAAUUACAUUUUAUUUUACAUUUGAUUUGUCCAUUUCUGCAUCUAAACGCCUAAAAACCUAAAACAUGCUCUAUUAUACUAUUGUUAGCAAUUUCUUUAUCGUCCAAUUUAUCUGGUGUACACUUUUAUUUUCAUAAUAAACUUGUUUGUUAGAUUAUACACAGUUACAGUGGUCUAUAAUAAAUAUUGACAGGUUUUAUUCAAGCUAUUUAGAAUGAUUGCAGUAGGCAAAUGUUUUGAAAUGUAAAUAAAAUAAAAAAAAAUUAAAUAAAUAAAUAAAUAAAAAACAUUGGAAAAGAAUAACUGUUGUACAUUUUUAUACAUUUUGUAUAAUUUCAUAGUUUAUGCAUUAUAGUUAUAAAAACAAAUAAAUUUAGCCACUCACAUAAAAUCUUAUAGGCCUUAUCCUUUUCUGACAGUUUUAGGGAUUUUUAAAAAUCCUAAAAAACCUUAUUUGUGCUGCAAAUAAUAAUUUCAAACUCAAACAGUAAAUAUUCAGUUCAUGCUUUAUAAAGCCUUGUCCCAAUAUUAAUAGUCAGUAGUAAGAAGUUUAUAAAUACAGCUAUAAAAAGCUUGUUCUUGGGUUAUAAGCACAUUUAUUAAAAAGGAGAGUAAAGGGUCAGUUAUCUUCCUAUGAAAAAAAAAAAAAACAAAAAAAAAAAACAAACAACAACACAGAUUGAUACAGAACUCAGAAAUUUUAUUGUGGAUUUAUGAUAAAAUCAGCCUGUAAAUGAAUUCAUACUCCUCCAAGAAGACACAAGUUCACAGCAAACUUUUUUAACAUGAAGCUAAUAUACUGAAGAUGUUAAAUUGCGAAUGGGUUUAGGAUAGCUUAAAUGGUGUGGCCAUAGCGAUUUAUUAAAGUAACGUAAAAAAAUACAAUCGUUAUUUUACUAUAUCUUUAAAAUUUUUCAUUCCAACUCUUCAUAAUUUUUUAUAUACGUAGAAGUCAUCAUUUGAAGGAAGCACAGUAAGUUUCAUAGCUUUAUCAUUUUCAAGAGCCAGCAUAAAAUUAAAACUAUCAUAACUUAUAAAUCAAGCUUGCAAUUCUUAGUACCAAUAAUGGCCACCAGAUGGAGCUAUAGGAUCACUUUUAAAUAAUUAUUGUAAAACAAGUAUGAUUUAAAUCAUUUAUAGAAAUCUUUCAAAGAAAAAUAAUAUGUAUUUUAUGUAUUUUACUGAUAAAAUGACCCUCACUUAAUUAGAAUAACAAGCUGAAGUAUUGUGAACUGUAUAUUAAGAAUAAUUCUUUAUAAGCUUUAUGGACAGAUACGUUUUGAGUGACUCUUGAAGGUUCAGCACAACAUCCUCUUUUACCACUGUUUAAAGAAUUUAUCUUACAGAACAGGUGUGAAUGAAUUUUGGAUAGCUUGAAUGAUUUUGCGUGGUGAUUUUUUGAAAUAACAGUAAAAAAGUAACCAGUAAAUGUCUUUUAUUUUUUUAAAGUGCAGCUUCUAAACACUUCAAAAAAAUGUACACAUAGCAGACAAGUCAUUCUGAGGAAAUAUGCAUAGUUCCAUGACUAUACAACAUUAUAUGGAUGAUAGAAAAUUAAAAAACUAUCAUACAUCUGAUGUCACUCUGUCCCUCUGUCACUGUGGUUAAUGUGUGUGUGUGUGUGUGUGUGUUUGUGUGUGUGUUAAGUGAAUUAGGUGUGAAACUAUCAGGGAGCAUUUAGUCUCCAGCGCCAACAUUUUACAGAACUGCCACUUUCCUGGAGUCUCAGAAUUACAAUGUGCCAGGUUCUGAGAGAUCUAAGAUUCCAAAAAAUUAUUUAAUUAGAAUACUAUGAAGUAUUGUGAAAUACUAUAUAUUAAGACUUUAUAUAUAGGCUUUAUGAACAGAUUAGAGUGACUCGUGAAGGACCAGCACCACCUCCUCUUGUCCGAUGGUUUGAGGAAUAUAUCUUCCAGAAUCCGGGAUUAAGAUUUAGGAGCUCAUUUUUAUUCCACCUCCUUUCCUGAAAGUCUGUCUUGCAGAAUUGACUAAAAAUUAAUCUUCACAUUAAUUCCUAAUUAUUUUGCAAUUCUUUUUGUCAGUUCUUCUUGACCUGUUUUUCUCUUCCAGCUUUCCUGGACUAUUGUAUAGCACUCAUAAAUGAUUAAAUAAAAAAUAAUGGUAGUUAUUAAGAUUGAUAUGGUUUGGAAUUGGUAAAAUGUGCUUGGAAAAAAAUCACAAUAAAACAAUGUUUUAAUGUUUAA